UCAGCAGUUUCCAAAAUAUUAGUCAAUGCUCGCAAGAGUGAACUAGCUAACUGAAAUCAAUGAAAAUAAUAGAUUGAUAACGUAAGGGAAAAUAAUGAUAUUACCUUACUAUUAGUGUCGUCCAAAACUGGUGCCAGAAGACUCGGUAAGGCCAGAGACGCAAACGUUAAUCGUCUUAAUCAGGCGUAAAGGGUUUGUAGGCUGCUUUUAACUUAGAAUAUAAAACUAAAAGCUAGAAUCAAAUAGAGGUUAUAUUACAUAAUACUUAGAGUAGGUCUUAUAUCCUUAGAUACUAAGGGGAAUAUUAAGGGCGAAAGCUUUUUUACCAUUAAUGAUUGACGCUGAGAAACGAAGGUGAGGAAAGGAAAUAGGAUUAGAUACCCAAAAUACCCCUCUCUGUCAACGAUGAAUGGUAACUAUUAGUAAUAAAAUUAGUAGUAAUGUUAACACAAUAACCAUUCCGCCUUGUUACUACGACUGCAAAGUUAAAAACAAAAAAAUUAGUCGGUCUCGAAGCAAACGAAGUGAAGCAUGUUAUUUAAUUAUAAAAAUCCGCAA
rnacentral:rRNA from 1 species